rnacentral:rRNA from 1 species
CCUACGGGGGGCUGCAGUGAGGAAUAUUGGUCAAUGGUCGCGAGACUGAACCAGCCAAGCCGCGUGAGGGAGGACGGUACAGAGUAUCGUAAACCUCUUUUGUCAGGGAACAAAGGCGGGGACGUGUCCCCGGAUGCGUGUACCUGAAGAAAAAGCAUCGGCUAACUCCGUUCCAGCAGCCGCGGUAAUACGGAGGAUGCGAGCGUUAUCCGGAUUUAUUGGGUUUAAAGGGUGCGCAGGCGGUCUGUUAAGUCAGCGGUAAAAGCCCGGGGCUCAACCCCGGCCCGCCGUUGAAACUGGCAGUCUCGAGUUGGAGAGAAGUAUGCGGAAUGCGCGGUGUAGCGUUGAAAUGCAUAGAUAUCGCGCAGAACUCCGAUUGCGAAGGCAGCAUGCCGGCUCCACACUGACGCUGAGGCACGAAAGCGUGGGUAUCGAACAGGAUUAGAUACCCGAGUAGUC